rnacentral:rRNA from 1 species
UACAGAGGUCCCAAGCGUUGUUCGGAUUCACUGGGCGUAAAGGGUGCGUAGGUGGUGAGGUAAGUCGGAUGUGAAAGCUCGGAGCUCAACUCCGAAAUGGCAUUGGAAACUACCUUGCUCGAGGGUUGGAGGGGGGACUGGAAUACUUGGUGUAGCAGUGAAAUGCGUAGAUAUCGGGAGGAACACCAGUGGCGAAGGCGGCUACCUGGGCCAGUUCUGACGCUGAGGCGCGAAAGCGUGGGGAGCAAACAGG